rnacentral:rRNA from 1 species
UCCCAAGGGUAUGGCUGUUCGCCAUUUAAAGAGGUACGUGAGCUGGGUUUAGAACGUCGUGAGACAGUUCGGUCCCUAUCUGCCGUGGGCGUCAGGAACAUUGAAAGGAUCUGCCUUUAGUACGAGAGGACCGAGGUGGACAUACCUCUGGUGUACCAGUUGUUCCGCCAGGAGCAUCGCUGGGUAGCUAAGUAUGGAAGGGAUAACCGCUGAAAGCAUCUAAGCGGGAAACCCACCUUAAGAUAAGUGUUCCCUAUCAGAGCCGUGGAAGACCACCACGUUGAUAGGCCGGGUGUGGAAGUGUGGUAACACAUGAAGCUAACCGGUACUAAUAGCUCGAUUGAUUUACAUAAGUUGU